UACAGAGGUCUCAAGCGUUGUUCGGAUUCAUUGGGCGUAAAGGGUGCGUAGGUGGCGCCGUAAGUCGGGUGUGAAAUUUCGGAGCUUAACUCCGAAACUGCAUUCGAUACUGCGGUGCUUGAGGACUGGAGAGGAGACUGGAAUUCACGGUGUAGCAGUGAAAUGCGUAGAUAUCGUGAGGAAGACCAGUGGCGAAGGCGGGUCUCUGGACAGUUCCUGACGCUGAGACGCGAAAGCGCGGGGAGCGAACGGG
rnacentral:rRNA from 1 species